AGAGAGCCUGUAGUUGCCCCUCAAUCGCUCAGUAGUCAGUGUAGAUCCUGUAUUCUAAUCAGCAGCUACAUCUGGCUACUGGGUCUCUGAGGGUACCUUCUAGCUUCUCU